GUCUUCGUAGUGUAACGGUAGCACACUCGGCGCGUAUUCGAGAUAUCUAGGUUCGAGUCCCGGCGAGGACA
rnacentral:tRNA from 1 species